ACUAUGAAAAUGUCCCCUGACCCACAUAUUUCAAUAUAGUAUUAAGCCUUGUUUUCAUUACCUGAAAUGUAUGUUUGCUUACAAACAGGUUUCCUUGAAUCUAUUCUCCCCACCUCCUCCAAUCAAGGAGCAAAGAGAACACCAGAGAAGCUGGAGCACAGUGAACAAGGGGAAACUGGCAUGAGAUGAGACUAUAACAGAAAGAAGAGAGGCCACAUCACAGAACAGGGAGGAGGGAGGAAUGUUGUGGGUCAAGUUAAAUAUUUGGGGUUUAUUCUACGUAAAAUAAAAAGUAAAAGGCCAGGCAUGGUGGCUCACACCUGUAAUCCCAGCACCGCUACGUUUUAAAUGGUGAACUCUACGGUAGGUGAACUAUGUGUCAGGAAGCUGUUUUAUUUUUUUAAAGGACUGAAGACUUUUGUUUUGUGUUUUGUUUUGUUUUCAUUUUAUCCCGUUUUUAAAACAGUGCCUAGCAAUAUUAUGAAUUCAAUCGAUUUUGGCUAAAUGCUAGAACAAAAAUUAAAACUUGAGUAAACCAUAUAAAACUUUGCCAUAUCUAAAGUUAUUAAAUUACCGUAGACUGGCAUGGUGGGAGCAUAAUAUGAGUGUACCUGCAGGUGUGUUUUCCAUGAAAGUAGCAAAGACUGAAAAACUCAGCAGAAUCAAGACCCUGUAGGCCCUUGAAGUUAGGCUAAGAAAUGUGUAUUAUCCUGAAAGCAACGGGAAGGCCAGGAAGAUUCUGAGGACAGAAAUAACACAAUCUGAUAUGCGUUUUAAACGUGCAGGUGUAAGCGGAGAGUUGCUACUUCUAUCCAAACGUGAGCCACCUCAGAAAUAAAGCAAUAGCCCUCCGGGGAGAAUGGGGAGGAAUCAGGGGAAGACCGGAGAAACAGGUUAUCAAAUUAUCAGAAUCUCCAUAGAUUUUUUUAAAUUACACAGCAUC
rnacentral:lncRNA from 1 species